rnacentral:lncRNA from 1 species
AGCCUCUAUAUUUCUACAGAAUUUCUUUUGUCUCCUGGCCAAUUUCUUGUGUUGUCAGAAAGUUAUACAACAUAAGCUUGCAAAUAAAAAUCAAGAGAGAUCGAGUUGCAUGGAUUCACAUACUUCAUACAAAGUGAUUUACUGAAGCACCCUUAGUAAAAUACCAGAAACAACCUAAAUGACCAUCAAUAGCAGAUGGCACAGCGUUAUAAUGGAAUAUUAGGCAGGCCUUGCAAACAAGAGACACACAGGAGCAAUACCAGGAGUAAAGCAAGCUGAGAGCCGGAACAAUAUAAGAAAAGAGCCUACCAUGUGCCAGAGGACAACUUCAAUAAAAAACACCAGGUCAGCGGAUAAGACCAUGUCACUCACAGGUUUGUGACUUGAGGCCUGAGCACCAAUGAUCCACUCCACAUCAGUGGAGAAUGUUGGAAAGUAAGGACGCUGUGGACAUUUUCUGAAGUUGGAGAAAUGGAAUGGUGGAGAAGCCAGUAUUGGGGUACCAUGAGUGGAGCAGAGUUGACUACAAAUCUCAAUAAAGCUUUUCAACUGUAUACCUAACUGCAAAGUCAUUUACU